rnacentral:lncRNA from 10 species
UGCACGCCUGUAAUCCCAGCAUUGCAUUCCAGCCUCGGUGACAGGGCAAGACUCAGUCUCAAAAAAAGCGCCAUGCUAGGGAUGACUGAAUUGAAUUUAGAAGGUGCCCUUGCUUUCAGAAAAACAACAACCCAACACUGCUUAAUCUACCCAACCCGGAGCCAAAUCUGCACCAACCAACCACCUGGCCCACCUGGUGGCUUUUCAGACUCUGACCUUGACGAUGGGACAUGAGGUGGGGAAGGAGGUGGAAGCACAGCUAGGGAAGAAGGGGCAAGAGACCCACUCCCCUGGCAUGAUCCCUGGGGUCUUGGAGGCUGGGCCGGUCAACAUGGCUGCAGUUAUUUCUAGCUUUCUGGAUUCCCAGAAAAAAACAGCUGUACUUCAAAGAAAAUGCAGAACAAGUUUAGUGGCAUUUGGUGCAUUUACACUGCUGUGCGGCAGCUCCUCUAGCUGGUUCCUGUGCCUGCAUGUCCAGAGUCCAAGUUCUGACAUUUGUACAUACUCAUGAAGUCAUUGCCGUCAUCAAGAAGCUGAACAUCCCCACCAUCCUCCAACGCUUCCCCAGGCUCUUCAUCAUCUGUCCCUCCCACAACUCCAUCCCUGGACAACCACUGGUGUUCUCUGUGUCAUUACAGAUCACUGACAGAAUUUCCUUAUUUUUGCCUUUUUUUUCUUUUUUCUUUCUUUUUCUUUUUUUUUUUUUUUGAGACAGUGUCUUGCUCUGUUGCCCAGGCUGGAGUGCAGUGGCACAAUCAUAGCGCACUGUAGCCUCAGCUUCUCAGGCUUAACUGAUCCUCCCACAUCACCCUCCCAAGUCGCUGGGACCACAGGCACACAUCACCAUGCUCGGCUAAUUGUUUCUAUUUUUUUGUAGAGCUGGGGUCUCACUAUGUUGCCCAGGCUGAUCCUGAACUCCUGGGCUCAAGCGAUCUGCCUGCCUGGGCCUCCCAAAAAGUGCUGGGAUUACAUGCAUGAGCCAGUGUGCCCAGCCUAGGGGUAGAAUUUUCUAGCGAUGGAAUCAUACCUUAUGUACUCCUUUUCUAUCUGCCCUCCUUCACCUUCAUAAUUAUUUUGAAAUUCACUCAUGUUCUUGGGUGUAAUCAAUGAUUCCUUUUUACUGCUGAGUAGUAUUCUCAACUUCAUUGAAUUGUACCCUUUGCAUAUGUGUGAUUUAUUGUAUAUCAACUAUACCUCAGUAAAACUAUACGAAAAAGAUAAGGGGUUCUCUGUUUUUUGUUUUGUUUUGUUUUUGAGAUGGAUUCUCACUCUGUCGCCAGG